UACGUAGGGGGCUAGCGUUGUCCGGAAUCAUUGGGCGUAAAGAGCGUGUAGGCGGCCCGGUAAGUCCGCUGUAAAAGUCAAAGGCUCAACCUUUGAAAGCCGAUGGAUACUGCAGGGCUAGAGUCCGGAAGAGGCGAGUGGAAUUCCUGGUGUAGCGGUGGAAUGCGCAGAUAUCAGGAGGAACACCAAUAGCGAAGGCAGCUCGCUGGGACGGUACUGACGCUAAGGCGCGAAAGCGUGGGGAGCGAACAGG
rnacentral:rRNA from 1 species